rnacentral:lncRNA from 1 species
CUAGCUACUCAUAUUCAAAGAAGAAAAACAAGAAAUAGAUGAAGAUAAACACAUAUUAAUUAAUUGCUAAGCUAAAUACAAAGAUUCAAUGAUGAAAUGUAGUUAAAGUUGCCCAAAAUGACUAAGGAAAGUCGACCCACGAGCGCAGCUAUGCUAUUACAAUAUCUGCUAACCUAAAAAUGGAAAAAAGAUCUAUUUAUACUAAGCUGAAAAAUCUGGACAAAAAUGUCUCUACGGGGUUAGUGCGGACCGCACAGAAUGGACUACGGCCACGCUAGGACUCUUGGCUCCGAAAUCCAGCUCUCUGAACUCAGACUCCGCGGACCGCACAGAAUGGACUGCGGCCACGGUGACCUCUAGUGCGGUCCGCACAAAAUGGAUUGCGGAUCGCAUUGGCUUGAAAGCUCCAAACUGCAACUUCUCUGAAUCUUGGCUCUGCGAACCACACAGAAUGGUAGUGCAGCCGCAUGGACUCCAGUGCGGACCGCACUAAAUCUAGUGCAGCCGCAUUGCCUUUUAGCCUGAAUACCUGCCCUCUGAACCUCCUAGUGCGGACCGCACAAAGUGGUGUGCGGCCGCACUAUACGUAUUUUGCCUGAGCUUGUCUUGUCUUUGGUACUUGUGCAAGUUUCACUCCUUUUGAGCUGAUAUUUGACAUCUUGUCACUUUGUUGAUCAAACCUGCAAUCAAGUACAACUUACGAGCCUUUUGGGACUCUUUGUAUGAGUUUCUAAUCAAAGCAUGAGCAAGAAGGAAUAUAAAAUGCGUCAAAAUUCCUAGUUAUCAGACCCGCAAUUAAUGAAAAGCUAAAAAAAAUACUCCCUCUCUCUCUCCAUUCACCAAACUGUUCCUAAGUGCCCCCAACCCCUUCCCCCCAAAACCCGCUCCUCUCACUUUCUUCUUCUUCCUCCUCCUCCCAUCACCAUAUAGAAAAACAACCCAUCUACUAUUAUCUUUUUCAGUUUCAAAAAAUAUUUUAAGUUGCUAUGUAUUUCAGUCUUUAAAAACAGUUUGAACACCGUAGAAAAUUAAACAAAGCUCAUGAUUUGAAACUUUUUCGGUAUUUUUAAGUUUUCUAGGCCUAACCCAUCAAAUUAGAAAUCAAUAAAAAAGUAAAAUAUUUUGUAUAUAUCCACAAGAUUAGAGAGAAACAUACACGUGCAAAAAAAAAGGUAACUUUUCCCAUCAGUAGAUCAAUAAUUUUGGGAUGGACUAUAUUAAUUUUACUAAUAUUUGUUGAACCCCAGUAAAUAAAAGACUCUUUCGUUCUUAAUAGAGGGGACAAAGAUACAAAGCUGUUGUGUUUGAAUUUUUGAACAUAAAAGUUUCAUUAGUAGAUUGUGAAAUUGUGAAAAGAAUAUGGGGAGAUUUGAUAUAGGGGGUGUAUUGGGAGGAAGAAGAAAGUGGAAGAGAGAGAAGCGGGACUAUUUUUUUUUAGUUUUUCAUUAAUUGCGAGUCCCAUUUGGCAAGCAAUCAAUGCCCUCACUCAAGUAUUACAUGGUAUAUCUCACUCAAAAUAAAAUUUCUCCUUGCUAAGACACUGUCAAGAACUCAAGAUUCUUCACAGGCCUAUAAUCCGUGGAUUUCACCUUAUCUUACCCAUUUUGGAUUUUCAUGAUAUUAGUAUAAAAUCUUCAUUGUUGUGAACAUUAUGGCUCAUUUAAAACUUGUUUAAUAAUCUGCACCAAGACUUUCCUUUUAUGAGACAAAUUGGUUCAAGUCCGAUGAGAUCUUUUCCAAGCAGUAGUGCUUUUGGAUUUAGUACUCCCCACAUUAGCUAAAAUUGUAUCUCCUAUUUCACUAUUUGAUACUGUUGUUCCUCUGUACUUGCAAAUAAUGAUUCUGGAAAUUAGAACGUUAGCUUAUAAACGUAAAUAUAAAUAAAAAACAGAAAUUAAUUCGAGCCCACUGAAUUCACAGUGUUUCCUUAAGGAAUUUAAUCCCCUCCUAGUACCCAAGGUUAUAGAUUAUUUCCUCCCAGGAUAGAACGAAUUACACACUGGUGUAGCGGUACUUCAAACCCCAGUGUUUCAACGAACACAAAAUUCGGCAACAAAUCACACUUAUGGAUGCUUUGUUUGUAGUUAAAAACAAUGCAGAAUAAGGAGGACAACUCAGAAGUCGAAUGGAAAUUCUGAGAGGAAGGAAUGCAAAGUAUAGCCAAUGUUGAAUUCUUACCGAAGAGAAUAUCAAAUUGCAAUUCGUUUUUCCAGUGUAUACGCAGUGUAUACAGAGUGUAUAUCCAGUAUAUGCAGAGUGUAUAUCCAGUGUAUACAGAGUGUAUAUUAAGUGUAUACAGAGUGUUUCAAGUGUUUUUUUCGAUGUGUUCUUCUUUCUCUCCAACUUAUGCUCUAUUUAUAGCAGUUAUUUGAGAGAAAUCCGCCCCUUCCAUGGUGUAACAAGCACUAGAUCAUGGAGAAAACACUUACAUGGUGGUAUAUACACUUGCUUGGUGGGAGGAACACUUGCACCAUUGUGGGAGGUGCACUAGGCUGCAUUGUUGCUUAGUGUUGCAACACAAUACACGGAUUGGAAAACAUCUGUUACAAACACGGAUUAUAUCACGUUAAUAUUCACUAUUAACAAAUAAAUUUGGUCCAAAAAAUUAAUCAAUCGAUCGAUCAUUUGACCAAAUCCGAAUCCAAAUCCCAUUUCCCAUUCACUCUAAUUUUAAGACUAUUUCAUCUUAAACAAAAACUCAACAGAUACUACUUAUUUGGCUAGCUAAAAUCUUUUUGUAGUAUGAAAUUGAUCUCCUCUGUUUACUUUAGUUAAGUAGUUAUCUUUGUUAGUUUCGUACAUACCUGCUUCUCAUCUAUUUCCUUCUCUAUUUUUUGCAUGAACACACGAGCUGAAGAGUCUUACUUUGAGACUCACCGAUGUAACACUGCAUGGAGACUGCACAUUCCCGAAUCCCUUUUCCAGCUUUUACCGUGUAAUACAGAGGAUAAAAUCUUUUGCGAGGCCUGAAGAUGGCUCUGAACCAUUUCACUCUGUUUUCAUUCACUCUUGUUCUAUUCCCUAUUGCAACUAACAAAUUUAUGUCCAGUUGUAUAGUGAACCUGAGCAUGCUAUUUGUUAAAUGAGUUUCCUUGGGUCAUCUAUCUCUAUCUAAUAAUGAUUUUUAAUGUAUCAUAAUAGAAUGUAGUACCUAGAUUAAGGCUUUAAAAUCAGAACCCAUAACAGUUACUUUAUAUGCUAAGUGGAUUUUUUUUUCCGAGUCUAAUAUCUAGUGGUAAAUUUAUAAUCUUUUGCAGGCUUAAAAGACCGCUGUCGACACUACUAAUUAAAAAACGAAAACUAUUUUAUACAGUUUUCUUUGUUAUUUCAAGAAUUCAAAUUGUUUUUGAUUUUAUCCACUUUAAAUAGUUUUAAGAGUUAAAAAACGCUAAAUCCAUUUUCGCCGCGUUACAAUUUGGGGUACUUUAAACUAUAUUUCUUACAGUUUCAAGAUCAGCUGAAUAUUUCUUUAAAGUAACACGAAAUAUUUUUAUGGUAAACUAGAAUAACUUCCAAGAUUUUCGAAAAUCAUUUGUCACUUCCAUAUAUAAAAUAAUUGGACUUUAACGUUUUCCUUUGAAGUGUCAAAUUCAAAUGGAUAAGAGGUCAGUCAUCCUGAAUCAACCUUGAAUGCAUAAAGCAUUUUAUAAGUAUUAAGUCCCACGAAUUCCACUUCAAUUAAUAAGUAGUUUAUGGAUAGUUCCUUCAAUUAAUAAGUAUUUUAUGGAACUUAUGUAAUAGUGUUAUGAACUAACCAAUACUUAUUUGUAAAACAAUCUUUUGACUAGAAAUACUUGAUUUAUUUUAGCCUUAAUUACCUAAGUUUGGUUGGUCAACCGUAAUUAACGGAUCAUGUAGGGUGCUUUAAUGACCUUCCCUAUAGGAUUAAUUAGAACCCUUACCCAUACUCUUAAGUUAAGUAGAUCAUAAAAUAGAGUUAACUUUAAGUACUAUUUAGCUAAAAUUGGUGUCCUAAUUUACUAUUGAAAUAAUUAGGUGGCGACUCUUUUAAUUAAUUAAACCUUAGAAUUACCAAUAUGUUAUACUCUAGUUUGACCCGUAUUAAACUAGGGUAUAACAGACGAGACACUGACCUAUAAUUGUAAAAAAAAAAAAUAGAAGAUCUGGCUCAAUCCUGCGAGCUUCUCUUUUCUAAGGGCUCUAUGUCUGUUAGUGGAAGUCAAGCAUGCCUAGCUUUUGAAUAUGAUUGACUGACUCACUCAUUCGGAGUGGCUUAGAAUAGUUUGGAGAGGUGGUUACCUUAUUUUUUUCCAAGCUAAAUUUAUAGGACACCAAGAGAUAUAGGAAUUGUCUAUCUCGAUAAAUCUCUAUCGAUAUUGACUUAUCACAAUCUUUAAGAAAGAGAUCGACGAGCCCAUUCUCUCAACCCCGCGAGUCUUGUACUAACAUAGUUUAAAUUACGACUCAAAAACCAGGAUACACUACGAGAAAUGAAUGAAUAGAAUAGUCUAGUAUAAUCACAUAAUAGGAAACAAGUAGAAUGAAUGAAUAGAAUAGUCUGACAGAAUAGUAUGGUAGGGAACGAGCAUGCCUCAUAUUUUCAAGGAUGAAGGAACAUCUUUUGUCCCCGUAAAAUCAUACAGACAGUACAGUGACUGCCUACUGGAUCAGGAGAAAAAUGUUCUUCAUCAGCUGGAGAAAUAGUCUCUUAUAGAGGAAAGUGUGCUAAAGCAAAAGUCAAGAGCAAAAUGGAUUAAACUUGGAGAUUCCAAUACCAAGUAUUUUUCUGCUAUCUUAAAGGAAAGGAAUCAGAGGAAACAAGUUAAGGAACUCACAUCACUAGAUGGAAAAAAUUUGAAUGAUGCUGAAAUGAUCAAGUAUGGAAUCAUGGAGUUCUAUAAAUCACUGAUGGGAUCUGCUGCCCAAAAUUUACCUGCCAUCAACAAGGGGAUCAUGAAGCAAGGUUCUACACUAUCUCAACAACAAAGAAUGCAGCUAUGUGCAGAAAUCACUGAGUAAGAGAUAUUUGAAGGAUUGCAGAGUAUUAGGGAUGACAAGUCACCAUGGGUGGAUGGUUUCAAUGCAUAUUUUUUCAAGAAAGUAUGCCAAAUUAUCAAUGAUGAGGUUUGUGCAGCUGUUAAGGAAUUCUUCACCGCUGGUAGAUUGUAUAAGGUAAUAGAUGGCACUACCCUUAUGCUAAUAUCAAAAGUUGACAAACCAGACAAUGUAAAGGAUUUCAGACCUAUUGCUUGUUGUACCUUACUCAAUAAGAUCAUCUCUAAGGUAUUAGCAUCAAGACUCACAAGGUUAUUGCAUUCAUCAUUAGUGAAAAUCAAGUAGGAUUUAUCCCUGGGAGAAGAAUUGCAUAUGGAUUGGUUAAAUCUUAUACAAGGAAGCACAUCUAUCAUAGAUGUAUGAUUAAGAUUGACCUACAAAAGGCCUAUAACUCAGUGGAGUGAAUCUUUUUAGAACAGGUACUGAAUAAGCUGGGAUUCCCUACACAAUUUAUUGGCUGGAUUAUGGAGUGUAUCAAAACAGUCAACUACACAAUCUUGAUCAAUAGAGAGACCACUGCCCCUUUUGAUGCAAAGAAAGGACUUAGACAAGGGGAUCCUAUAUCCUCCUUUCUAUUUGCUAUUGUAAUGGAAUAUCUAAGCAGAAGCCUCAAUGGCCUGGGGGGGGGAGGCUUCAAUAUCAUCCAAAAUGUGUUAGGAUGGGUAUCACACACUUAAGCUUUGCUGAUGAUAUAUUGUUAUUUGCAAGAGGUGAUCUAGCAUUAGUGACUGCCAUGCAUAGAUGCUUUAAUCAGUUUGCUCAAGCAUCAAGGCUACAAGCCAAUAUAGGAAAGAGUUCAGUGUACUUUGGAGGGUAUCAAGUGUUGAAAGGAACAAAAUAUUGCACCAUCUGGGAUAUGGACAAUGGGAGAUGCCUUUCAAAUACUUAGGCAUAACACUAUCAACAAAAAAAAUAUCAAUGAUUCAGUGACAACCACUCAUACAAAAGAUAGUGGCAAGGAUAUAUUCAUGGAUAACUAAGAAACUAUCCUAUGCAAGAAGAAUACAGUUAGUGCAAAGUAUGAUAUUUGGAAUCCAAACAUACUGGGCCCAGCUAUUACCAUUACCUGUCAAGGUGUUGAAAACUAUUGAUGCAUAUUGUCGGAGCUAUAUAUGGUCUGCCACCAAUACAAUCACUAAGAAGGCACUGAUAUCCUGGGAAAAGAUGUGCUAUCCUAAGUCUUGUGGAGGACUAAAUCUGGUAAACAUUCAUUUAUGGAAUAGAGAUGCUAUAAUUAAAACGUGUUGGGACAUGGAAGCUAGCAGGAUAGGGUGUGGAUCAAGUGGAUUCACACCUAUUAUAUCAGAGGACAACAAUUCUUGCAAAUGCCAGCUCCUAAACAAGUUUGCUGGAUGAUCAGACAAAUUUUCAAUGCUAGAACAUAUUGGAAUCUGGUACAGAGGCACAAGCAGGGUUCUAGUAUGACUAGACACAUUUAUCUACAGUUACUGGGACAAAGGCCUCGAGUGUCAUGGAAAUGCUUAAUGUUUCAAAACUUUGCGAGACCUAAAGCGCAGUUUACCAUGUGAAUGUUACUACAUGAAAGACUUCCCACCACAGAUAGAUUGACAAACUGGGGAAUGGCAGUGGAUACCCAAUACACUUUAUGCCACAACCAUGAGGAAUAAAGAUCAUCUCUUUGUGAUCAUUUGUGAGUAUACCAAGAACCCGUGGAUGAAGAUUAUGCAAUUGAUGCAACAUGAUUAUAAAAGUACACAGAACUGGGAGCAGCAUCUUGAAUGGAGUUUGCUACAUGCUAAAGGCAAGACCAAAAGAGCAAAGAUAUUUUGAUUGGUAUAUGCAGAAAUAGCACAUGCAAUUUGGAAUGAGAAAAAUCAUAGGAUAUUUGAAAAGGACACGAGACUGGAUUACUAUUGCUCGUGAGGUAGCAUACAUAUGCAACAUCAGAGUUUAGUACAUAAUAAUGUUUUUGUUUGAGUGUAUAGAGGAUCCUAUGACAUAGAUGAUAGAGCUGUAAUGAGAUAGCUAGCUGUGUAAGUGAUGCUAUGAUUUUGUACAGUUUUAUCGAUGAUUAAUAUAAAAGUGAUUAAUUAUCAAAAAAAUAAAUCAUACAGACCCUAAUUUCCCAGGCUACUUCCUCACCGGGAAGGGAACUAGUGUUGGUAUUAGAAACAUCCUUAAUUCCAUGCAUUGAACACUUUAUUUAACUUUCUAGUUUUAUAAUUUUAAUGUAUUUUCUAUAUUAUUUUUUAUACCAAUUUUUUAAAUAUAUAAAGUACAAAAAGUUAACGAUUCGUGGACCUUAUGCCCACUUUUCACGUUAAAAUAAUCAAUAUUUGUCAAAUCAUUGAAAAAUAACUACUAUUUUGAUGCAAUAGAGAUCGGUCCAGCAUAAUAUACUGGAGUUCCGUGCACCUGUGUAUGAACUUCCAGCAUAUUAUGCUGGCUCUAGUAUAAUAUACUAGAGACUGGAGCACCGGUGCUCCAAACUCCAAUAUAUUAUGCUGGACCGGUAUAUUAUACUAGAACUCCAGCAUAUAAGGCUGGAGUUUCAGUAUAUACUGAACUCCUGUAUAUUAUGCUGGAGUAUUUUUCCGGAUUUUGAACAAUGUUUUCGUUCAGAUUUAUCUUUAUAUGAAAAGUGGCUAAAUUUCGAUUAUUUUUAAAAUUGUGGCUAUUUUUGAAUGACCAUUUGUAAAUCUGACUAUUUUUGAAUUUCUUCCAUUUUUCACGGGUAAAGAGCCCAGGCUCCCGCUCCCAUUUUUCAAAAAACACUAAUUGCUAUUUUGCACUGUAAGGUAAACCAAGAUAACUACGUAAAUUAAAAUAGGUAAUUCCGCUAUAGAGCCAAAUGAAAUUAAUAAAAAGGUCAAUUAUAAGAGUUGAUCUACGAUAAAUCCACCUUCUACAAGAAAAAGGAGAUAAUCUAAUUUUCUCAACAUGGUAGAAACAUAAGUAGUAUAUAAUCAGGUCAUUUUUUAGCUUAAUAUAGUAAGGUAAAUUUUACUUAUUAGAUUAAAUAAACAAUAAAAAACCUCGAUAUUUAUAAACUAAUCCAAGUUUUGACCGCCUAAAGUUUAAUCAUGCUCUUUAAAUUUUCGACGUUCAAAUCACAUUUCGUUUUCAUACUCCAAAAUACAAUUUUCCGUAACCCCGCCAAAAGUACAAUGUCUAUCUCAGCCAAAAAGCACAAUCCGUGUCAACACACAAAAAAGCACUUCUUGCCGUUGAUCCUUUCACUCGGAUCGAUAGUCUUAACCGUCGAUUUUCUUUUCAAAGCCCCAAAAAACUUACGGUCACGAUUUAACCUUUUCCACAACUUCAAAAAUCCGAUCCCCAAAACCAGCAGCUAUAAAUAACAACAAACUCAGUCAUUUCAUCUCAUCAAAACAAUCAAAGUUCACUUCUCUCUUUUAAAUUCAAAACCCUAGAAAUUAAAUUUCAAUUUCCUCUCUCUGAAGCUUCUGAAAAAUGUCUGGACGUGGAAAGGGAGGCAAGGGAUUGGGCAAAGGAGGAGCAAAGAGGCACAGGAAGGUGCUGAGAGAUAACAUUCAGGGAAUUACAAAGCCAGCUAUUCGUAGGCUUGCUCGUAGGGGUGGUGUCAAGCGUAUUUCUGGGUUGAUUUAUGAGGAGACACGUGGAGUGCUUAAGAUCUUUUUGGAGAAUGUGAUUCGUGAUGCUGUUACCUACACUGAGCACGCUAGGAGAAAGACUGUUACUGCUAUGGAUGUUGUGUACGCUCUCAAGAGGCAGGGAAGGACCUUGUACGGAUUUGGAGGUUAAAUAUUGGGGGUUAGGGUUUAUAGUGUUUUGUUGUUAGUGAUUGUAGAUUUCAUGUUUGUGCUUUCUGUUUGUGUUAGUGGUCGGUUUAAGCUAGGGUACUUUAAUUUCUGUUGCUAAGGUCUGGAUAUUGUAAUUCCUCGUUAUACAAUCAAGUAAAACAGACCAUUUCCUAAUUUGUUUUGCA